CAACAUCGAUGAGAUCGAUGUGAUUUUUAUUUUCAAAUCUAAAGUAUAUAUUUUUCAUAUCAAAAAUUUUGAUGUGGUAGUCUAAGAUUAGAUCUUAUAUAUAUGAUUAGGAUUAAAUUAUUUAAUUUAUUAUUUCUACUGUAUAAAAUUUUUUAAUUAUAUGUACUAUACUACAUUAAAUUUUCUUCACUUUGACUUAUCAGAAAUAUCUCUCAGACUACAUCACGAGCCCUCGAUGGCCAACUAGACAACUCAUUCACUGCCCCCGACAUCA
rnacentral:lncRNA from 1 species